CCGUAGCCCAAGAGAUCGGGAUAACACCUGGAAACAGAUGCUAAUACCGGAUAACAACAGAUGAUGCCUAUCAACUGUUUAAAAGAUGGUUCUGCUAUCACUCUUGGAUGGACCUGCGGUGCAUUAGCUAGUUGGUAGGGUAACGGCCUACCAAGGCGAUGAUGCAUAGCCGAGUUGAGAGAUUGAUCGGCCACAUUGGGACUGAGACACGGCCCAAACUCCUACGGGAGGCAGCAGCU
rnacentral:rRNA from 1 species